rnacentral:rRNA from 1 species
GUGAGGAAUAUUGCGCAAUGGAGGCAACUCUGACGCAGCCAUGCCGCGUGCAGGAAGAAGGCGCUACGCGUUGUAAACUGCUUUUAACCGGGAAGAAACCCCAGGACGUGUCCUGGGUUGACGGUACCGGAGGAAUAAGCACCGGCUAACUUCGUGCCAGCAGCCGCGGUAAUACGAAGGGUGCAAGCGUUAUCCGGAUUCAUUGGGUUUAAAGGGUGCGUAGGCGGAGCGUUAAGUCAGUGGUGAAAUCCCGCAGCUUAACUGUAGACUUGCCAUUGAUACUGGCGCUCUUGAGUGCGCUUGAAGUGGGCGGAAUGUGCCGUGUAGCGGUGAAAUGCUUAGAUAUGGCACAGAACACCAAUUGCGAAGGCAGCUCACUAAGGCGAUACUGACGCUGAGGCACGAAAGCGUGGGGAUCGAACAGGAUUAGAUACCCCUGUAGUCC